rnacentral:rRNA from 1 species
GUGCCAGCCGCCGCGGUAAGACGAGGUGCACAAACGUUAUUCGGAAUUACUGGGCUUAAAGCGUGCGUAGGCGGCUUAGCAAGUCGGGUGUGAAAGCCCUCGGCUCAACCGAGGAAUUGCGCCCGAAACUGCUGAGCUUGAGUGAGACAGAGGUGAGCGGAACUGAUGGUGGAGCGGUGAAAUGCGUUGAUAUCAUCAGGAACACCGGUGGCGAAGGCGGCUCACUGGGUCUCUACUGACGCUGAGGUACGAAAGCCAGGGUAGCGAACGGGAUUAGAAACCCUUGUAGUCC